rnacentral:rRNA from 1 species
UACGGGGGGGGCAAGCGUUGUUCGGAAUUACUGGGCGUAAAGGGGACGUAGGCGGCCAACUAAGUCCGACGUGAAAUCCCAAGGCUUAACCUUGGAACUGCGUCGGAUACUGGAUGGCUUGAAUUCGGGAGAGGGAUGCAGAAUUCCAGGUGUAGCGGUGAAAUGCGUAGAUAUCAGGAGGAACACCGGUGGCGAAGGCGGCAUCCUGGACCGGUAUUGACGCUGAGGCGCGAAAGCCAGGGGAGCAAACGGG